ACGCUGGCGGCAGGCCUAACACAUGCAAGUCGAGCGGUAGCACAGGAGAGCUUGCUCUCUGGGUGACGAGCGGCGGACGGGUGAGUAAUGUCUGGGAAACUGCCUGAUGGAGGGGGAUAACUACUGGAAACGGUAGCUAAUACCGCAUGACCUCGCAAGAGCAAAGUGGGGGACCUUCGGGCCUCACGCCAUCGGAUGUGCCCAGAUGGGAUUAGCUAGUAGGUGGGGUAAUGGCUCACCUAGGCGACGAACCCUAGCUGGUCUGAGAGGAUGACCAGCCACACUGGAACUGAGACACGGUCCAGACUCCUACGGGAGGCAGCAGUGGGGAAUAUUGCACAAUGGGCGCAAGCCUGAUGCAGCCAUGCCGCGUGUGUGAAGAAGGCCUUAGGGUUGUAAAGCACUUUCAGCGAGGAGGAAGGCGUUGUAGUUAAUAGCCGCAGCGAUUGACGUUACUCGCAGAAGAAGCACCGGCUAACUCCGUGCCAGCAGCCGCGGUAAUACGGAGGGUGCAAGCGUUAAUCGGAAUUACUGGGCGUAAAGCGCACGCAGGCGGUUUGUUAAGUCAGAUGUGAAAUCCCCGAGCUUAACUUGGGAACUGCAUUUGAAACUGGCAAGCUAGAGUCUUGUAGAGGGGGGUAGAAUUCCAGGUGUAGCGGUGAAAUGCGUAGAGAUCUGGAGGAAUACCGGUGGCGAAGGCGGCCCCCUGGACAAAGACUGACGCUCAGGUGCGAAAGCGUGGGGAGCAAGC
rnacentral:rRNA from 1 species